AGCCAGCUGACGAGUCCCAAACAGGACGAAACGCGUGUCCUGCAU
rnacentral:hammerhead_ribozyme from 1 species